rnacentral:rRNA from 1 species
GAUGAACGCUAGCGGCAGGCUUAACACAUGCAAGUCGAGGGGCAGCAUGAGACGGAGAUUCGUCGAAGUCUUGAUGGCGACCGGCGCAAGGGUGCGUAACGCGUGAGCAACUUGCCCGUUUCUGGGGAAUAACCGGUGGAAACGCCGACUAAUACCCCAUAGUAUUGAGUUUAGGCAUCUUUACUCAAUUAAAGAAUUUCGGAAACGGAUAGGCUCGCGUGACAUUAGCUGGAUGGCGGGGUAACGGCCCACCAUGGCAACGAUGUCUAGGGGUUCUGAGAGGAAGGUCCCCCACACUGGAACUGAGACACGGUCCAGACUCCUACGGGAGGCAGCAGUGAGGAAUAUUGGUCAAUGGUCGGAAGACUGAACCAGCCAAGUAGCGUGAAGGAUGAAGGUUCUAUGGAUUGUAAACUUCUUUUAUACGGGAAUAAAACCUCCCACGUGUGGGAGCUUGUAUGUACCGUAUGAAUAAGCAUCGGCUAACUCCGUG